UACGAAGGGGCUAGCGUUGCUCGGAAUCACUGGGCGUAAAGCGCACGUAGGCGGAUUGCUAAGUCAGGGUGAAAUCCUGGAGCUCAACUCCAGAACUGCCUUUGAUACUGGCGACCUUGAGUCCGGGAGAGGUGAGUGGAACUGCGAGUGUAGAGGUGAAAUUCGUAGAUAUUCGCAAGAACACCAGUGGCGAAGGCGGCUCACUGGCCCGGUACUGACGCUGAGGUGCGAAAGCGUGGAGCAACAGG
rnacentral:rRNA from 1 species